UAUAAAGUGUUUCUAAAAAACUUGAAAGAUUCAGUUCAAAUUCAAUAUUCACUCAGACUUCUCUAGACACUCCAACUCAUACUCAAAUAACCCCACGUAUCUCCUUGAAAUUGGAGGGCACCUUUGAUAAUAAACACCUCUUUUCUUCAACCCUGAAUUUCCUCCCAACUCCAGGGCGCAAGAGGAUAAAUUCAGUGCAGUACACAUGCAUGCAAAACAAAACGUACACCACUUACUUGCUUUACCCUGAAUUUAAGACAGCACAUGUGGCCUGCUUCAUUCUGCUUUUAAGUUCAAAGGCAUCAGGCAGGCAGAUCUCUGGUUUAGCCAGUAACUUCUUUCAAGAGCGCCUUGGUUUCCAUAGACAUGGAAAUUCUGUUUUGAAGGGAUAUGCAACUCCAUUUUUGGGUUUUCUAGAAGCACCUCACCAAGCAAACACGGAGAUCUUAGGCCCCUAGGAGCUCUUUCUUAGUCUCAGUCAAUAAAAGUGAUUCUAUCAAAGCCCAGAUGGAAACGCCAGGCAGACUUCGGCCUCGGCUGUUUAGCGUCCUGCCCAGAGUUCACGGAGUGAUUUAAAAUUCUGAGCCUGAGCUGCAGGCUGAGGGCAGCACAUUCACAUCUGUGUUGUCUUUUAGUCCAAAGUCGGCCACCUUAAGGAUGGAGGUCCAGGCCUCUAGGUGUUGAGGUUGUUCUCCGGCUUUAGGUCCCUAAAAUUUCGUUCAGGGAGGCAGUGGUGCACAUGAGCUGUAGCACGAAGCUUUCCCAGGCAGCUGGGCCUUGCCUCCAGACAGGACAGACUAAUCCGGUCUCCAUCGUCAGGUAAGUCCACGACAAAGCAGAGGUAGCAAGGCUCGCCAGUGUAACCAACAACCUUUCUCAUUUACAGCAGGUACUGCCCCCCGGCCUCACACGAGGAUAAAGCUUCACGCGAGCAUUCUUGUUCUCACUGCUCAUGCGCGGGCUGGUCAGUUGUAGUGCGCAAGUGCACAAGGUUUAGGCGGCGCCGCAUGAGGCUGUUCAGGGCCCAGAAUUCUGUCCGCGGCAGCACGCUUUGUGUUCCCCGGACGUGAUAGCAGUUGUUUUUGGCCUCUACUAAGGCGUCACUGUCUCCUUAUCCAGCUGGUACACCUGAUCUCUGCCAACAGACUGUAGUACCCACCAGUUGCCCCCUCCACCACGGCUGUGCCAGAAAAAUAAGUCGAUGCUGAUGGAGGUAAAACAAAUUAUUCAAGAUUUUCAGUGGAUAUGAGAAGACGCAAGAAUUUGGGCCCAUAAAAAUCCUAACCUGAAAUCUGAAGGCCUGUUCUAUCAAUUUUCUCAGAGCACAGAGUGUCUCACUCCUGGUCUCCAUGCUCAGCUCUGCUCA